CAAGAUCAAGGAGAACCUGGAUAAGAUUAGCGACUACCUCAUCCUCGUCGGCAUGGUUGGCUCCUUUGGCAGACCCCUCUUUGGCUCCGACCUACUUACUUUUGUCGCUGGCUAGCAGCAUUUCCAGGUGUUGUGUGUUCUAGAAGAUGGAAGAGGAAGAAAACUUACUUUUGUUGAACUAAAUUUUCUGUAUUCUGUUUUGUUGUACGUAUCAUUUGAUAGUUUUGUAUAGGAACAAGUUAUACUAUCUUGUAGGGCUUUAUGGCCUGUAAUGCAAACAUAUUUAGUGCUGAAAUAUGAAAUUAUUUGCAAAAUUUGUCGAAAAGGAGGAUCAUUUGUAC